UACGUAGGGGGCAAGCGUUGUCCGGAAUCAUUGGGCGUAAAGCGCGCGUAGGUGGCCCGGUAAGUCCGCUCUGAAAGUCAAAGGCUCAACCUUUGAAAGCGGGUGGAUACUGUCGGGCUAGAGUCCGGAAGAGGCGAGUGGAAUUCCUGGUGUAGCGGUGGAAUGCGCAGAUAUCAGGAAGAACACCUAUGGCGAAGGCAGCUCUCUGGGACGGUACUGACGCUGAGACGCGAAAGCGUGGGGAGCGAACAGG
rnacentral:rRNA from 1 species